CUUGGUGUUACUGCGAAGGGGGGACGGAGAAGGCUAUGUUGGCCGGGCGACGGUUGUCCCGGUUUAAGCGUGUAGGUGUGUGUUCCAGGUAAAUCCGGUUCACUUUAACACUGAGGCGUGACGACGAGGCACUACGGUGCUGAAGCAACAAAUGCCCUGCUUCCAGGAAAAGCCUCUAAGCAUCAGGUAACAUCAAAUCGUACCCCAAACCGACACAGGUGGUCAGGUAGAGAAUACCAAGGCGCUUGAGAGAACUCGGGUGAAGGAACUAGGCAAAAUGGUGCCGUAACUUCGGGAGAAGGCACGCUGACACGUAGGUGAAGUGAUUUACUCAUGGAGCUGAAGUCAGUCGAAGAUACCAGCUGGCUGCAACUGUUUAUUAAAAACACAGCACUGUGCAAACACGAAAGUGGACGUAUACGGUGUGACGCCUGCCCGGUGCCGGAAGGUUAAUUGAUGGGGUCAGCGCAAGCGAAGCUCCUGAUCGAAGCCCCGGUAAACGGCGGCCGUAACUAUAACGGUCCUAAGGUAGCGAAAUUCCUUGUCGGGUAAGUUCCGACCUGCACGAAUGGCGUAAUGAUGGCCAGGCUGUCUCCACCCGAGACUCAGUGAAAUUGAACUCGCUGUGAAGAUGCAGUGUACCCGCGGCAAGACGGAAAGACCCCGUGAACCUUUACUAUAGCUUGACACUGAACAUUGAGCCUUGAUGUGUAGGAUAGGUGGGAGGCUUUGAAGUGUGGACGCCAGUCUGCAUGGAGCCGACCUUGAAAUACCACCCUUUAAUGUUUGAUGUUCUAACGUGGACCCGUAAUCCGGGUUGCGGACAGUGUCUGGUGGGUAGUUUGACUGGGGCGGUCUCCUCCUAAAGAGUAACGGAGGAGCACGAAGGUUGGCUAAUCCUGGUCGGACAUCAGGAGGUUAGUGCAAUGGCAUAAGCCAGCUUGACUGCGAGCGUGACGGCGCGAGCAGGUGCGAAAGCAGGUCAUAGUGAUCCGGUGGUUCUGAAUGGAAGGGCCAUCGCUCAACGGAUAAAAGGUACUCCGGGGAUAACAGGCUGAUACCGCCCAAGAGUUCAUAUCGACGGCGGUGUUUGGCACCUCGAUGUCGGCUCAUCACAUCCUGGGGCUGAAGUAGGUCCCAAGGGUAUGGCUGUUCGCCAUUUAAAGUGGUACGCGAGCUGGGUUUAGAACGUCGUGAGACAGUUCGGUCCCUAUCUGCCGUGGGCGCUGGAGAACUGAGGGGGGCUGCUCCUAGUACGAGAGGACCGGAGUGGACGCAUCACUGGUGUUCGGGUUGUCAUGCCAAUGGCACUGCCCGGUAGCUAAAUGCGGAAGAGAUAAGUGCUGAAAGCAUCUAAGCACGAAACUUGCCCCGAGAUGAGUUCUCCCUGAGACUUAGAGUCUCCUGAAGGAACGUUGAAGACGACGACGUUGAUAGGCCGGGUGUGUAAGCGCAGCGAUGCGUUGAGCUAACCGGUACUAAUGAACCGUGAGGCUUAACCUUACA
rnacentral:rRNA from 1 species